CAAGUCGAACGAUGAACCACUUCGGUGGGGAUUAGUGGCGAACGGGUGAGUAACACGUGGGCAAUCUGCCCUGCACUCUGGGACAAGCCCUGGAAACGGGGUCUAAUACCGGAUACUGACCAUCACGGGCAUCCGUGGUGGUCGAAAGCUCCGGCGGUGCAGGAUGAGCCCGCGGCCUAUCAGCUUGUUGGUGAGGUAACGGCUCACCAAGGCGACGACGGGUAGCCGGCCUGAGAGGGCGACCGGCCACACUGGGACUGAGACACGGCCCAGACUCCUACGGGAGGCAGCAGUGGGGAAUAUUGCACAAUGGGCGAAAGCCUGAUGCAGCGACGCCGCGUGAGGGAUGACGGCCUUCGGGUUGUAAACCUCUUUCAGCAGGGAAGAAGCGAAAGUGACGGUACCUGCAGAAGAAGCGCCGGCUAACUACGUGCCAGCAGCCGCGGUAAUACGUAGGGCGCGAGCGUUGUCCGGAAUUAUUGGGCGUAAAGAGCUCGUAGGCGGCUUGUCACGUCGGUUGUGAAAGCCCGGGGCUUAACCCCGGGUCUGCAGUCGAUACGGGCAGGCUAGAGUUCGGUAGGGGAGAUCGGAAUUCCUGGUGUAGCGGUGAAAUGCGCAGAUAUCAGGAGGAACACCGGUGGCGAAGGCGGAUCUCUGGGCCGAUACUGACGCUGAGGAGCGAAAGCGUGGGGAGCGAACAGGAUUAGAUACCCUGGUAGUCCACGCCGUAAACGGUGGGCACUAGGUGUGGGCGACAUUCCACGUCGUCCGUGCCGCAGCUAACGCAUUAAGUGCCCCGCCUGGGGAGUACGGCCGCAAGGCUAAAACUCAAAGGAAUUGACGGGGGCCCGCACAAGCGGCGGAGCAUGUGGCUUAAUUCGACGCAACGCGAAGAACCUUACCAAGGCUUGACAUACACCGGAAACACUCAGAGAUGGGUGCCCCCUUGUGGUCGGUGUACAGGUGGUGCAUGACUGUCGUCAGCUCGUGUCGUGAGAUGUUGGGUUAAGUCCCGCAACGAGCGCAACCCUUGUCCCGUGUUGCCAGCAAGCCUCUUCGGGGUGUGGGGACUCACGGGAGACCGCCGGGGUCAACUCGGAGGAAAGUUGGGACGAACGUUCAAGUCAAUCAUGCCC
rnacentral:rRNA from 1 species